rnacentral:rRNA from 1 species
AGGACGAACGCUGGCGGCGUGCUUAACACAUGCAAGUGGGGCGACGAACCAGGCUUCGGCCUGGGGGCAAAGCCGCGAACGGGUGAGUAACACGUGGAUAACCUGCCCCGAAGACCGGGACAACCCGGGGGAAACCCGGGCUAAUACCGGAUGUGGCCACCGUCCAUAAGGACGAUGAGCAAAGGAAGCUUCGGCCUCCGCUUCGGGAGGGGUCCGCGGCCCAUUAGCUUGUUGGUGAGGUAACGGCUCACCAAGGCAACGAUGGGUAGCUGGUCUGAGAGGACGAUCAGCCACACUGGGACUGAGACACGGCCCAGACUCCUACGGGAGGCAGCAGUGGGGAAUCUUGGACAAGUGGGCGCAAGCCU